rnacentral:lncRNA from 1 species
UGGGGUUCAAGGGUGUUAUAGGAACAAUGGAUAUGAAACUCCUUCGACGAAUUUUUUAUCUUGCUUUGCACGAAUUCACAAAACUAGUUAGAACAAUUGAGAGGAAAGGAUAACAAGUUAUUCUGAGAGUUAGGGCCAUUGAUCAUAGGGAGGUUUACAUACCAUUGAAGUUCUGCAGUGGUCUAUCUCUUCAACUGGGGUUUAUCUCUAAUUCUUUCAAGUGAAGUUACAAAUUUUUAUCAAGUUUAAUGUAGAUUAGUAUCAUGGGAAACAGUGGAAUUGAGAAGGGGUGCUCUCAAUUCUACGGCGGUGGUUUUCAUGUAAAAGGAGUAACCAGAAUGUGACACUGUCGACUUUUGAAAAGUUACCACUCAAAGGGGAUGCCUAGGAAAAGGAGAAACAUUAAUAUGGGCAUGGAAGAGAUACAAAGAAGUUGAUCAGUCAAUGAUAGAGAUACAUGCAAAAAGUGUCACUAAUGGUCUCAUCAUUAUGCUAGGGAAAGUAGAGAUGUGUCGUUUUCUGCGGUGUAAUGGAAGCAUUGUUAGGCACUACACAAGCGGUAUCAUCAAUGUCGAAGAGCCAGUGAAAAGCUUGAAAAGGUGGGUCUCAUGCAGGCUGGACGAGGACGACCCAUCACCACUCAAAAAUCUGUCGAAUUUGACUGCUUUUGUGGUUGGGAACAGAUCAUAGACAUUGACAUAGCUCUUGUUCAUCCACAGCCAGAAUUGCUAGAUGCAGUUCGCGGUGCAAGGACCGAAGAAACCACUACCAUGAAGGUAGUUAUACCAUAUCACCUGCAGUUUGGUUCACACGGUUUGAAAACUACAUUUUGGUUUUCAGUUAAAAAAAGUUCGGUUUGGUUAAAUAACACAGAACUGGUACAUCAGACCUUUAUACUGGUUUGAAUUUACCUGAUGACACAGGCCCUUGUCAAAGUGUUGUGAAUAUUGGUUAGUUUUUCAAUCACCGGUUGGCAACUUUGAUAAUUAGGCUCUGUUUGGAUAAAAAAAACUUAAUUAAAGUGCUUAUAGUAAGUGUUGUGUAUAUGUAACAAAGAUAAAAUAAAGUCAGUUUUUUUCCAUUAAUAUAAGCUAUAUGUUGUAUUCUUAAGUUAUCCUAGAGAGUUAAUAUAUAUAAAAUGAAUAUAACUCGGAC